rnacentral:rRNA from 1 species
GGUUGAUCCUGCCAGUAGUCAUAUGCUUGUCUCAAAGAUUAAGCCAUGCAAGUCUAAGUACGNCUCUCGUAUAGUGAAACUGCGAAUGGCUCAUUACAUCGGUCAUAAUUUCCUGGACGAGUUAUUCCUACUUGGAUAACUGUGCCAAUUGUAGAGCUAAUACAUGCCACGAACUGUCUCUCCGGAGACGGUGCUUUUAUUAGAUCAAACGCCGAUGGCACCAGUGCCUCUGUUGGCGAAUCGUGAUAACUCUAGCAUAUCGCACGGUUUCACACCGGCGAAGCGUCCUCCAAGUGACUGCCUUAUCAGCUGUCGAUGGUAGUGUAUUGGACUACCAUGGCNNUNACGGGUAACGGGGAAUUNGGGUUCGAUUCCGGAGAGGGAGCCUGAGAAACGGCUACCACAUCNAAGGAAGGCAGCAGGCACGCAAAUUACCCAUUCCCNANUCGGGGAGGUAGUGACGAAAAAUAACGAUACGUGGUACUCAUUCGAGAACCCGUAAUUGGAAUGAGUACAAUUUAAAUCCUUUAACGAGGAUCUAUUGGAGGGCAAGUCUGGUGCCAGCAGCCGCGGUAAUUCCAGCUCCAAUAGCGUAUAUUAAAGUUGUUGCAGUUAAAAAGCUCGUAGUUGGAUCUUGGAUNCGGGUAUCGCGGUCUGAGCAGUGUCUCUGUACUGCGAUCGCCCNGUCUGUAUUNUCGGNAGCNCGGCCGUGNCCUUGACUGGGUGCGGUNCGGGUGCCGNAGCGUUUACUUUGAAAAAAUUAGAGUGUUCAAAGCAGACACGUUCGUCCGCAUAAUUUUGCAUGGAAUAAUGGAAUANGAGUUGGACUUAUUUUUGUUGGUGUUACGAGUCUAACUAAUGAUUAACAGGGAUAGACGGGGGCAUCGGUACCUCGUAGGGAGAGGUGAAAUUCUUUGAUCUACGGGAGACCAACUACUGCGAAAGCAUUUGCCAAGAAUGUUUUCAUUAAUCAGGAACGAAAGUCGGAGGUUCGAAGGCGAUCAGAUACCGCCCUAGUUCCGACCAUAAACGAUGUCAACUAGCGAUCUGCCGGCGUUAAUUAUAAGACUCGGCAGGAAGCUUCCGGGAAACCAAAGUNNNNNNNAUUCCGGGGAUAGUAUGGUUGCAAUAUNGAAAUUUAAAGGAAUUGACGGAAGGGCACCACCAGGAGUGGAGCCUGCGGCUUAAUUUGACUCAACACGGGAAACCUCACCAGGCCCAGACACGGGAAGGAUUGACAGAUUGAGAGCUCUUUCUUGAUUUCGUGGGUGGUGGUGCAUGGCCGUUCUUAGUUGGUGGAGCGAUUUGUCUGGUUAAUUCCGAUAACGAACGAGACUCAGUCCUACUAUUUAGA